GCUCAGAUUGAACGCUGGCGGCAUGCCUAACACAUGCAAGUCGAACGGCAGCGCGGAGAAGCUUCGGCUUCUCUGGCGGCGAGUGGCGGACGGGUGAGUAAUGCAUGGGAAUCUGCCCUUUGGUGGGGGAUAACCCGGAGAAAUCCGGGCUAAUACCGCAUACGCUCUACGGAGGAAAGUGGGGGACCGCAAGGCCUCACGCGAUGGAAUGAGCCGAUGUCCGAUUAGCUAGUUGGCGGGGUAAAGGCCUACCAAGGCGACGAUCCGUAGCUGGUCUGAGAGGAUGAUCAGCCACACUGGGACUGAGACACGGCCCAGACUCCUACGGGAGGCAGCAGUGGGGAAUCUUGGACAAUGGGGGAAACCCUGAUCCAGCCAUGCCGCGUGUGUGAAGAAGGCCUUCGGUAUGUAAAGCACUUUCAGCGGGGAGGAAGGCUUCUGGCUAAUACCC
rnacentral:rRNA from 1 species